CUGAAGCACUUUCUUUCUUCUUUCAGAUCAGCAGAUUGAGCUCAACGUUUGCUCCAAUAUUCUUGGAAAUUAUUCAGAGCAAUCAGCCUGAAGGGGUCCAUCUGUUAAUGAAAGAGCACACGGAAACUGACUUCAAAAGCCGACUGAAAUCCCGACCAGAACUCGAAGAGCUGCGGGCCCAGGUGAGCUGAGGUGCUGGAGAACACUCUGUCCAUUCCAGAGCCAUCCCUGGCAAUGCAAGGCUGAUCUUCCUCAGCUGCUCAAGCCUCCAGAAAGUUGACUUUGUGAGCUCUGUCCUGACAAGGAGAAAUUUCCAUCGUUGGGAAGCAUCUCUUCUGUGAAUCUUAACAAGGACAAAUACAUACCUUUGUGUCUGA